rnacentral:rRNA from 1 species
CAGCCGCCGCGGUAAUGCGUAGGUGGCAAGCGUUGUCCGGAAUUAUUGGGCGUAAAGGGCUCGCAGGCGGUUUCUUAAGUCCGAUGUGAAAGCCCCCGGCUCAACCGGGGAGGGUCAUUGGAAACUGGGAAACUUGAGUGCAGAAGAGGAGAGUGGAAUUCCACGUGUAGCGGUGAAAUGCGUAGAGAUGUGGAGGAACACCAGUGGCGAAGGCGACUCUCUGGUCUGUAACUGACGCUGAGGAGCGAAAGCGUGGGGAGCGAACAGGAUUAGAUACCCCAGUAGUCCCUGUCUCUUAUAC